CGGGGGGGGCAAGCGUUGUUCGGAAUUACUGGGCGGAAAGGGCUCGUAGGUGGCCAACUAAGUCAGACGUGAAAUCCCUCGGCUUAACCGGGGAACUGCGUCUGAUACUGGAUGGCUUGAGAUUGGGAGAGGGACGCGGAAUUCCAGGUGUAGCGGUGAAAUGCGUAGAUAUCUGGAGGAACACCGGUGGCGAAGGCGGCGUCCUGGACCAACACUGACACUGAGGAGCGAAAGCCAGGGGAGCAAACGGG
rnacentral:rRNA from 1 species